rnacentral:misc_RNA from 1 species
UCCGGCUUAUCACCGGCAGUCGCCUUAGAGUACCCAACUAAAUGAUGGCAACUAAGGCCGAGGGUUGCGCUCGUUGCGGGACUUAACCCAACAUCUCACGACACGAGCUGACGACAGCCAUGCAGCACCUGUGUUACGGCUCCCUUUCGGGCACACCCGGCUCUCACCGGGCUUCCGUACAUGUCAAGGGUAGGUAAGGUUUUUCGCGUUGCAUCGAAUUAAUCCACAUAAUCCACCGCUUGUGCGGGUCCCCGUCAAUUCCUUUGAGUUUUAAUCUUGCGACCGUACUCCCCAGGCGGGAUGCUUAUUGCGUUAGCUGCGCCACUGACGAGCAAGCUCGCCAACGGCUAGCAUCCAUCGUUUACGGCGUGGACUAC